rnacentral:rRNA from 1 species
GAUGAACGCUGGCGGCCUGUCUAACACAUGCAAGUCGAACGGACAUUUUUUGGAAAGUUCUUCGGAACUGGAAUCUAAAUGUUAGUGGCGGACGGGUGAGUAACGCGUGAGCAAUCUGCCUUUCAGAGGGGGAUAACAGCCGGAAACGGCUGCUAAUACCGCAUAAUGCAUUGGAUUCGCAUGUUUCUGAUGCCAAAGAUUUUAUCGCUGAAAGAUGAGCUCGCGUCUGAUUAGCUAGUUGGCGGGGUAACGGCCCACCAAGGCGACGAUCAGUAGCCGGACUGAGAGGUUGAACGGCCACAUUGGGACUGAGACACGGCCCAGACUCCUACGGGAGGCAGCAGUGGGGAAUAUUGCGCAAUGGGGGCAACCCUGACGCAGCAACGCCGCGUGAUUGAUGAAGGUCUUCGGAUUGUAAAAAUCUUUAAUCAGGGACGAAGAAAAUGACGGUACCUGAAGAAUAAGCUCCGGCUAACUACGUGCCAGCAGCCGCGGUAAUACGUAGGGAGCAAGCGUUAUCCGGAUUUACUGGGUGUAAAGGGCGUGUAGGCGGGCUUGCAAGUUGGAAGUGAAAUCUCGGGGCUUAACCCCGAAACUGCUUUCAAAACUGCGAGUCUUGAGUGAUGGAGAGGCAGGCGGAAUUCCCAGUGUAGCGGUGAAAUGCGUAGAUAUUGGGAGGAACACCAGUGGCGAAGGCGGCCUGCUGGACAUUAACUGACGCUGAGGCGCGAAAGCGUGGGGAGCAAACAGG